UACGUAGGGUGCGAGCGUUAAUCGGAAUACUGGGCGUAAAGCGUGCGCAGGCGGUUUUGUAAGCCAGGUGUGAAAUCCCCGGGCUCAACCUGGGAAUGGCAUUUGGGACUGCAAGGCUGGAGUGCGGCAGAGGAGACUGGAAUUCCUGGUGUAGCAGUGAAAUGCGUAGAUAUCAGGAGGAAUACGAUGGCGAAGGCCAGCUACCUGGACAACACUGACACUGAGGCACGAAAGCGUGGGGAGCAAACAGG
rnacentral:rRNA from 1 species